rnacentral:rRNA from 1 species
UGACCCGUCUUGAAACACGGACCAAGGAGUCUAGCGUGUGCGCGAGUCAUUGGGAUAUUACAAAACCUAAAGGCGAAAUGAAAGUAAACGUCCGCCCUGUGCGGACCGAGGGAAGAUGAUCGGUCUCCAUGACCGUUCCGCAUUCCCGGGGCGUCUCAUUCUCAUCGCGAGACGAGGCGCACCAAGAGCGUACACGCUGGGACCCGAAAGAUGGUGAACUAUGCCUGGUCAGGACGAAGUCAGGGGAAACCCUGAUGGAGGUCCGUAGCGAUUCUGACGUGCAAAUCGAUCGUCGGAACUGGGUAU